rnacentral:misc_RNA from 1 species
GAUGAAGAACGCAGCGAAAUGUGAUAAGUAAUGUGAAUUGCAGAAUUCAGUGAAUCAUCGAAUCUUUGAACGCACAUUGCGCCCCUUGGUAUUCCGAGGGGCAUGCCUGUUCGAGCGUCAUUAUAACCCUCAAGCUCAGCUUGGUGUUGGGGCCUGCUGCACUGGCAGCCCUUAAAAUCAGUGGCGGCGCCAUCUGGCUCUAAGCGUAGUAAUUCUUCUCGCUAUGGAGUCCUGGUGGAUGCUUGCCAUCAACCCCCAAUUUUUCUAUGGUUGACCUCGGAUCAGGUAGGGAUACCCGCUGAACUUAAGCAUAUCAAUAAGCGGAGGGA